rnacentral:ncRNA from 12 species
UAUGCCAGAGGUGGGAAAAUGCGUUGCACCCAUGCGCCGAAUUGGCUAAAAGAGAUGCUGCAGAUUGCGACGGCAGCCUGGCAAA